AAAGUUAGCGCCUGGACAAUUACUGUUUUUACGGUAGUUGUUGACGAGGAUUAGAACUUAUCGAAAGACUCGGCGGAUGGUUCUAUGGCAUACUUACUGUCAUGAAGUAAUUUUGUAAAACCUAAUAGCAAUAUUAGAACAAAGAAAA
rnacentral:ncRNA from 1 species